AAUGCCUACGGGGGGCAGCAGUGGGGGAUAUUGCACAAUGGGGGAAACCCUGAUGCAGCGACGCCGCGUGUGGGAAGACGGUCCUCUGGAUUGUAAACCACUGUCCCCAGGGACGAAGAUGACGGUACCUGGGGAGGAAGCUCCGGCUAACUACGUGCCAGCAGCCGCGGUAAUACGUAGGGAGCGAGCGUUGUCCGGAAUUACUGGGUGUAAAGGGAGCGUAGACGGUCCUGCAAGCCAGAUGUGAAAGCCCGG
rnacentral:rRNA from 1 species